UGGGGAAUAUUGCACAAUGGGCGGAAGCCUGAUGCAGCGACGCCGCGUGGGGGAUGAAGGCCUUCGGGUUGUAAACUCCUUUCGACAGGGACGAAGCUUUUGUGACGGUACCUGUAUAAGAAGCACCGGCGAACUACGUGCCAGCAGCCGCGGUAAUACGUAGGGUGCGAGCGUUGUCCGGAAUUACUGGGCGUAAAGAGCUCGUAGGUGGUUUGUCGCGUCGUCUGUGAAAUUCCGGGGCUUAACUCCGGGCGUGCAGGCGAUACGGGCUGACUUGAGUGCUGUAGGGGAGUCUGGAAUUCCUGGUGUAGCGGUGAAAUGCGCAGAUAUCAGGGGGAACACCGAUGGCGAAGGCAGGUCUCUGGGCAGUAACUGACGCUGAGGAGCGAAAGCAUGGGUAGCGAACAGG
rnacentral:rRNA from 1 species